AGAGUUUGAUCCUGGCUCAGGACGAACGCUGGCGGCGUGCUUCAUACAUGCAAGUCGAACGCGAAUCGGUAGCUUGCUACCGAGGAAAGUGGCGGACGGGUGAGUAAUAUGUAGAGAAUCUGCCCUAGAGAGGGGGACAACAGCUGGAAACGGUUGCUAAUACCCCAUAUGAGCGUACCUGAAAUGGUAUUCUUGAAAACUCCGGUGCUCUAGGAUGAGUCUGCAUCUGAUUAGCUAGUUGGGGGUGUAAUGGACCACCAAGGCGACGAUCAGUAGCUGGUUUGAGAGGAUGAUCAGCCACAAUGGGACUGAGACACGGCCCAUACUCCUACGGGAGGCAGCAGUAGGGAAUUUUGCGCAAUGGGCGAAAGCCUGACGCAGCAACGCCGCGUGAUUGAUAAAGCCCUUCGGGGUGUAAAGAUCUGUCAGUGGGGACGAAACUUGACGGUACCCACAGAGGAAGCACCGGCUAACUCCGUGCCAGCAGCCGCGGUAAUACGGAGGGUGCAAGCGUUGUCCGGAAUCAUUGGGCGUAAAGAGUUCGUAGGUGGUUUGUUAAGUUUGGUGUUAAAUGCAGAGGCUCAACUUCUGUUCGGCAUCGGAUACUGGCAGACUAGAAUGCGGUAGAGGUAAAGGGAAUUCCUGGUGUAGCGGUGAAAUGCGUAGAUAUCAGGAGGAACAUCGGUGGCGUAAGCGCUUUACUGGGCCGUAAUUGACACUGAGGAACGAAAGCCAUCCCGCCUGGGGAGUACGCACGCAAGUGUGAAACUCAAAGGAAUUGACGGGGACCCGCACAAGCGGUGGAACAUGUGGUUUAAUUCGAAGCAACGCGAAGAACCUUACCAGGGCUUGACAUCUAACAAACCUUUGUGAAAGCAGAGGGUGCUCUUCGGAGAAUGUUAAGACAGGUGGUGCACGGUUGUCGUCAGCUCGUGUCGUGAGAUGUUGGGUUAAGUCCCGCAACGAGCGCAACCCUCGUCGUUAGUUGGUACUAUCGGUAUACUUAUAGUAACCUCUCUAGCGAGACUGCCGGUGAUAAACCGGAGGAAGGUGAGGACGAGGUCAAAUCAUCAUGCCCCUUAUGCUCUGGGCUACACACGUGUUACAAUGGCCGGUACAAUGAGCCGCCAACUCGCGAGAGUGAGCAAAUCUCUAAAAGCCGGUCUCAGUUCGGAUUGCAGUCUGCAAGGAAUCGCUAGUAAACGCAGAUCAGCACGCUGCGUUGAAUACGUUCCCGGGUCUUGUACACACCGCCCGUCACACCAUGGAAGUCGACCACGCCCGAAGUACGUGAGCUAACCGUAAGGAAGCAGCGUCCUAAGGCAGGGUUGGUGACUGGGGUGAAGUCGUAACAAGGUAGCCGUACCGGAAGGUGUGGCUG
rnacentral:rRNA from 1 species